rnacentral:rRNA from 1 species
UAAAGAUUCAUCGCUGACAGAUAGGCAUGCGUUCCAUUAGGCAGUUGGCGGGGUAACGGCCCACCAAACCGACGAUGGAUAGGGGUUCUGAGAGGAAGGUCCCCCACAUUGGUACUGAGACACGGACCAAACUCCUACGGGAGGCAGCAGUGAGGAAUAUUGGUCAAUGGGCGUAAGCCUGAACCAGCCAAGUCGCGUGAGGGAUGAAGGUUCUAUGGAUCGUAAACCUCUUUUAUAAGGGAAUAAAGUGUGGGACGUGUCCUAUUUUGUAUGUACCUUAUGAAUAAGGAUCGGCUAACUCCGUGCCAGCAGCCGCGGUAAUACGGAGGAUCCGAGCGUUAUCCGGAUUUAUUGGGUUUAAAGGGUGCGUAGGCGGCCUUUUAAGUCAGCGGUGAAAGUCUGUGGCUCAACCAUAGAAUUGCCGUUGAAACUGGGGGGCUUGAGUAUGUUUGAGGCAGGCGGAAUGCGUGGUGUAGCGGUGAAAUGCUUAGAUAUCACGCAGAACCCCGAUUGCGAAGGCAGCCUGCCAAGCCAUGACUGACGCUGAUGCACGAAAGCGUGGGGAUCAAACAGGAUUAGAUACCCUGGUAGUCCACGCAGUAAACGAUGAUCACUAGCUGUUUGCGAUACAGUGUAA